rnacentral:rRNA from 1 species
CAGCAGAGGAAGGGGCUAGGUGUGUAGGGGUUAGGACUUCCUCUAUAUCUCCGGUGUGUCUCGAAGUGGGAGGACCGCCUCGAGGAAACCCGGUGGUUUGUGCCGCGGCGGCAUGUCCCCUCUUCGGCUAGCUCCAACAGAGCAACGGCCGCGGCUCCUCUGACCUGUCUCUUGAUGUCGUCUUCCGUUACACUCUAGUCGUCACGGACAUCGUAGUAACGGAAACAAACGGGUCUCCUAUAGAACAAUGACUGGUUUGUGAAACUUGUUCUUAGUAGAGAGGUGGUUGUACCGUAGUUUAGUCGGUUAUUUGUUCAGGAGUCAAUAUCGGUACCGAACCCCUAAUAAGUUACUACCACGACCCCACGAAAGGUUGAAGUUGUGUAUAUUUCUUAAGAAGUCGACCUGCCGUAGUCAAUAUUGGCGGUAAGUAAUAGCUGUCUCGUGGAGUCUCAGCGGUCUGUUACUGUUCUGUCAACGUGUUGGUGUACUAUUUCUCUUUUAACUAGCCGAUCUCCAACUAGAAACCUUCGACUUCUGUUGUUACGGGUUCUACGAACUGGAGUAACUAGCCCAACUCAAAGAUUCGGUAUUCCUUGUUCACCAACUAGAGGAGGGUUUAUAGUUUCCACGUCACAAGCUACGUCUCCUGGACGAACUACUCAAACUAAUACUACAUGAGUUCAACUUCCAACUUACGUCGUUCUUAAACUUCGGUCCAGUAAUAUUACUGUGGAAAGACCUUAAGAAGCUGUCUAGGUCACUAAUGUUUUCUGUUCAGUUGUAUUAAGUUCUUUUUGAUCUAGUACAGGUAUUCGUCCGGUACCUAUACCCGAACGUGGUUCGUGGUGCCUUCAAACUAUUUAGUCAAUCCGGUCUUUGUUGAUGGAUGAAAUUAACACACCUUUUUUACCAACCAGCACUUUUUCUUUACUUCCUCAACAACCCUUUUGAUCCUCAAGCACCUGACUUCUCUCCUUCUUGACUUUCGUUUCGUUCUUACUGUCUCAACGUACACAAUAGGUAACAACCGUACCCUCCACAGCCCUUCUGUUGCUACCGGGUUGUUUAGACGUUCUUAUGUUUACACUUCUUUGUGAAACCGGGGUAUUAAACCUGUACACAAAGUCUACUGAAACUGUGUUUUCCCAAUUGCUUUCGCUAAUAUCUCCCGGAGCCUCCUCUGCGCAGUAGAUUAUUAGACUUACAAGAAUACCCAUUUGAUCUUCCAGCACAGUUCAGGUUUUUCAAGAACGAACAGGAACUACUGUACACCCUACUAUAGAACUUCCUACUGCGUCGUCCCACCUUCUCGAACACACGUACAAACCUUUUACCGCGACUUCCUUCAUCCUAAAACCAGUGGUGAUCUAAGGGGCUCCAACGACUCGAUCAACCGGGAUACUUAUUAAAACUCAAUUUACCGAAUCUUGGUUUCCAUAAGACCCUAAAGAAGUUUAGGACACGUAAACCUAGGUGCUCAAGAACGUUGUUGGUCCUCAGUGACCUUAACCUCGUGUAACCAUUUCUGUAACAAGGUUUCAACUUCCCAAGGGGUAAUCGACGGUUCUGAUAACCAGCGAACGACUCUUACCUCGAUUCAUGUUGUGUAACCUUUUUAUAUUUCCUUUCACUUGAGACCUUUAAUUUUGUUUGUCUAUGACUGUAAGACGGUCGGGAAGCUGACUCGAUAUACAUAGAUGGCGUCUUUGACUUCUCUACGAAGAGUUAGACACGUUACAAAGGGUUCCUAGUGUUUAAACCCUUCCUAAAAGAUCGACUAUAAACCUAACGUGUUCCUAUACACCUCCCCGGGGUUCUUAGUAGUUACACGAAGCUACGGGAACGUUUAGCAAGUAAGAAAGUCUUUGGUAGUGGUGUCUCAGAAUUCAUACGUUAAGUACUAGACUACGUACUGUGUCGUGUCGAUCAGAGCUUCCUACUCACGAAGUAAUAUUUCGUACGAUCACUGGACCUGUUUCAAGGAAGUUUACAGGCAGUAGACAGUUAUAAGUGUUUGCCUUUACAAGUCACAAGACUUAACUUCUCGUAUACGCUGUUCUUUUUAAACUCCAGGGACCAUACGCUACUUAGCAUAUCGUUUCGUUUUCUAAAACUCGGACACUAUUUGACAACCAAGUCCCUCGAUGGCUUUUAGGCACAUAACUCAAAAUUUGAAAGACCUCAUGCUGUUGAUGGACUCUCGUACCCGUUGAGUUUCGUAGACGCAAUGGAAAGAAAUGAACCUUCACAAUGAAAGUCGUGUAAAGGUAAUAGUCAUACAGCAGACGUAGUAGACUUUUUAUAUCUGAGAUCGUCAACACACUAACUUUUCAAAGGAGGUCCGAAGUCACUACAGGAGUCGAAUCUCUUCUAGUUAAGUUUCACAAAAUCAAUAUCGUUCCUGGUGAGACCGUUUGAGACGGAUUUUACCAGGGUAGGCGACGUAUCAGGACUCCCUCACUUCUAUUACCUUUUGGUCUACCUUUACAAUGGAGUGACCUUAGAGGUUGUAAACGUGCAUUUCUUGAUGCCUCCACUUAGAACGGGAUCGACCGAGGUCGGGUUGGAGGACGGUUCCAAUGCAAGAGAACUUAAAUACUUAACACAGUCAAACUUCUCGUAUGGUAAGAAAGAGGUCAAUCAACCCAGUGACCCGUUAUGUAGUGUUAGUCUGUUGUAAUUAGCAUAACUUCUCAACCAGUAUUUUCUUACACCAGUUUAGUCAACCGUUCCGAACCACCAGAAUGGAUGAAGAGAAUCUUUCGAUCUGGAAGCCUCGGGCCCGAUAAGGUACCUAGUGAAGCACUCGACGAAGGAACUGGAGUGGAGGGAGUGAAUAAACUCUUACGUACUGACGCUGAGCAACUGUCGAUAAGGGGACAUACACACCUCUUCGUUAGAAGGUAGGGACCUUCUUGAUCUGUAGUCAAAAACGUUAUUGUAAUGUAGUUAUCAGAGACUUCGUUCAUCAUCGUCAUCGUGGUGGUUGCCGCCGUAAUUUCCUAAAAGUAGGGAACGAUUCUAUACAUAAGAAACGACAGGCUUUAAUAACUCGAACGUACUUAAGAAGUUCGGUCUAACAGAUGGACGGCACUUCUGGUAACUCCAAAGGAGAACACUUCUCAACUACAGCGACAGACAACUGUCCGAGCUGCCCAACGUCGUCAACUGUUAAGCUCCAAGACUAUUCAAGUUAUACCUCUCCCGUUACUAUAAUGGUAGGAGAGAAUUCUUCGAGUCGAACUCACUAACAGUCCCGUAUCUUAGGUAGUUGGAGCGGUUACCGGUCAACCGUUUAAGAGGUCAUAACCUCCUUGAAUCGUAAAACGCGACAAGUCUGGAAUUCAGGUAACCACCACGUCGUCGACAACUAUUUUAUUUCUUUCACUCAUAUUUCCUCACGGUGCUCGAGUUCCUUUAUGUUGUCGGCGAGAAAGUGACCUUGCCUCCCUCACCAUGGGUUUAGAAAAGUUCCUCCUGAUGUUCCUCGACCGUCAUGUAUAAAAGCUCCUCCGGAUACUUUCUCCUACUUCCAGUGUGGUAGACU